rnacentral:rRNA from 1 species
GACGAACGCUGGCGGCGUGCUUAACACAUGCAAGUCGAACGGAAAGGCCCUGCUUUUGUGGGGUGCUCGAGUGGCGAACGGGUGAGUAACACGUGAGUAACCUGCCCUUGACUUUGGGAUAACCUCAGGAAACUGGGGCUAAUACCGGAUAGGAGCUCCUGCUGCAUGGUGGGGGUUGGAAAGUUUCGGCGGUUGGGGAUGGACUCGCGGCUUAUCAGCUUGUUGGUGGGGUAGUGGCUUACCAAGGCUUUGACGGGUAGCCGGCCUGAGAGGGUGACCGGCCACAUUGGGACUGAGAUACGGCCCAGACUCCUACGGGAGGCAGCAGUGGGGAAUAUUGCACAAUGGGCGGAAGCCUGAUGCAGCAACGCCGCGUGCGGGAUGACGGCCUUCGGGUUGUAAACCGCUUUCGCCUGUGACGAAGCGUGAGUGACGGUAAUGGGUAAAGAAGCACCGGCUAACUACGUGCCAGCAGCCGCGGUGAUACGUAGGGUGCGAGCGUUGUCCGGAUUUAUUGGGCGUAAAGGGCUCGUAGGUGGUUGAUCGCGUCGGAAGUGUAAUCUUGGGGCUUAACCCUGAGCGUGCUUUCGAUACGGGUUGACUUGAGGAAGGUAGGGGAGAAUGGAAUUCCUGGUGGAGCGGUGGAAUGCGCAGAUAUCAGGAGGAACACCAGUGGCGAAGGCGGUUCUCUGGGCCUUUCCUGACGCUGAGGAGCGAAAGCGUGGGGAGCGAACAGGCUUAGAUACCCUGGUAGUCCACGCUGUAAACGGUGGGUACUAGGUGUGGGGUCCAUUCCACGGGUUCCGUGCCGUAGCUAACGCUUUAAGUACCCCGCCUGGGGAGUACGGCCGCAAGGCUAAAACUCAAAGGAAUUGACGGGGCCCCGCACAAGCGGCGGAGCAUGCGGAUUAAUUCGAUGCAACGCGUAGAACCUUACCUGGGUUUGACAUGGAUCGGGAGUGCUCAGAGAUGGGUGUGCCUCUUUUGGGGUCGGUUCACAGGUGGUGCAUGGCUGUCGUCAGCUCGUGUCGUGAGAUGUUGGGUUAAGUCCCGCAACGAGCGCAACCCUUGUUCACUGUUGCCAGCACGUUAUGGUGGGGACUCAGUGGAGACCGCCGGGGUCAACUCGGAGGAAGGUGGGGAUGACGUCAAGUCAUCAUGCCCCUUAUGUCCAGGGCUUCACGCAUGCUACAAUGGCUGGUACAGAGAGUGGCGAGCCUGUGAGGGUGAGCGAAUCUCGGAAAGCCGGUCUCAGUUCGGAUUGGGGUCUGCAACUCGACCUCAUGAAGUCGGAGUCGCUAGUAAUCGCAGAUCAGCAACGCUGCGGUGAAUACGUUCCCGGGGCU